UAGGGAAUCUUCGGCAAUGGGGGCAACCCUGACCGAGCAACGCCGCGUGAGUGAAGAAGGUUUUCGGAUCGUAAAGCUCUGUUGUAAGUCAAGAACGAGUGUGAGAGUGGAAAGUUCACACUGUGACGGUAGCUUACCAGAAAGGGACGGCUAACUACGUGCCAGCAGCCGCGGUAAUACGUAGGUCCCGAGCGUUGUCCGGAUUUAUUGGGCGUAAAGCGAGCGCAGGCGGUUUGAUAAGUCUGAAGUUAAAGGCUGUGGCUCAACCAUAGUUCGCUUUGGAAACUGUCAAACUUGAGUGCAGAAGGGGAGAGUGGAAUUCCAUGUGUAGCGGUGAAAUGCGUAGAUAUAUGGAGGAACACCGGUGGCGAAAGCGGCUCUCUGGUCUGUAACUGACGCUGAGGCUCGAAAGCGUGGGGAGCGAACAGGAUUAGAUACCCUGGUAGUCCACGCCGUAACGAUGAGUGCUAGGUGUUGGAUCCUUUCCGGGACUCAGUGCCGCAGCUAACGCAUUAAGCACUCCGCCUGGGGAGUACGACCGCAAGGUU
rnacentral:rRNA from 1 species